UCUUCAUUGAUGGCAGUGCAACUGAAUAUGUCCAUAUCUUUCGUUUUGCUGCGAUGCCACCGUCUUAUUUGGUUGAUCGAAGAAUUCCAUCCACCAAAAAUCAUUUUGUUCACAAAACCAUUAUUUUAAAGCACGCCUUCCAACCUUAUUGAAGUCUGCCAUGCCAGUUCAUCCUAAAGUUCCUCCUACAGUUUCUCCUAAAAUUUCUACUAAAGUUUCUUCUGCUCCUUCCUCUACACAAGUGACUACAUCUACUAAAAAGCAGACGACUGGUACAAAAAGAAAACAAAUUAGCUUAGAUCGAUGCGCUUCUUG